UCUUCAUUUCUCGUACUCUCUCACCGGUCAGAGUGGCAAGAGAGUAUGAUGUGAAAUGAAGAGA
rnacentral:pre_miRNA from 1 species